rnacentral:rRNA from 1 species
CUCAGGAUGAACGCUGGCGGCGUGCCUAAUACAUGCAAGUCGAGCGAAUGGAUUGAGAGCUUGCUCUCAAGAAGUUAGCGGCGGACGGGUGAGUAACACGUGGGUAACCUGCCCAUAAGACUGGGAUAACUCCGGGAAACCGGGGCUAAUACCGGAUAACAUUUUGAACUGCAUGGUUCGAAAUUGAAAGGCGGCUUCGGCUGUCACUUAUGGAUGGACCCGCGUCGCAUUAGCUAGUUGGUGAGGUAACGGCUCACCAAGGCAACGAUGCGUAGCCGACCUGAGAGGGUGAUCGGCCACACUGGGACUGAGACACGGCCCAGACUCCUACGGGAGGCAGCAGUAGGGAAUCUUCCGCAAUGGACGAAAGUCUGACGGAGCAACGCCGCGUGAGUGAUGAAGGCUUUCGGGUCGUAAAACUCUGUUGUUAGGGAAGAACAAGUGCUAGUUGAAUAAGCUGGCACCUUGACGGUACCUAACCAGAAAGCCACGGCUAACUACGUGCCAGCAGCCGCGGUAAUACGUAGGUGGCAAGCGUUAUCCGGAAUUAUUGGGCGUAAAGCGCGCGCAGGUGGUUUCUUAAGUCUGAUGUGAAAGCCCACGGCUCAACCGUGGAGGGUCAUUGGAAACUGGGAGACUUGAGUGCAGAAGAGGAAAGUGGAAUUCCAUGUGUAGCGGUGAAAUGCGUAGAGAUAUGGAGGAACACCAGUGGCGAAGGCGACUUUCUGGUCUGUAACUGACA